GACGUGGGGGGCCAGCGUUGUUCGGAAUUACUGGGUGUAAAGGGUUCGUAGGCGGUGUGGCAAGUCGGGAGUGAAAUCUCUAGGCUCAACCUAGAGUCUGCUUCCGAAACUGCUGUGCUUGAGUGUGGGAGAGGCGCGUGGAAUUGCAGGUGUAGCGGUGAAAUGCGUAGAUAUCUGCAGGAACACCCGUGGCGAAAGCGGCGCGCUGGACCACUACUGACGCUGAGGAACGAAAGCUAGGGGAGCAAACAGG
rnacentral:rRNA from 1 species